CAGAGUUUGAUCUGGCUCAGGAUGAACGCUAGCGGCAGGCUUAACACAUGCAAGUCGAGGGGGCAGCGGGGGUGUAGCAAUACACUGCCGGCGACCGGCGCACGGGUGCGUAACGCGUAUGCAACCUACCCAUAACAGGGGCGAUAACACUGAGAAAUUGGUACUAAUUCCCCAUAACAUUCGAAGAGGCAUCUCUUUGGGUUGAAAACUCCGGUGGUUAUGGAUGGGCAUGCGUUGUAUUAGCUAGUUGGUGGGG
rnacentral:rRNA from 1 species